AGUGAACGCUGGCGGUUGGCCUAACACAUGCAAGUCGAACGGCAGCACUGUAAGAGCUUGCUCUUACGGGUGGCGAGUGGCGGACGGGUGAGGAAUACAUCGGAAUCUACUUUUUCGUGGGGGAUAACGUAGGGAAACUUACGCUAAUACCGCAUACGACCUACGGGUGAAAGCAGGGGAUCUUCGGACCUUGCGCGAUUGAAUGAGCCGAUGUCGGAUUAGCUAGUUGGCGGGGUAAAGGCCCACCAAGGCGACGAUCCGUAGCUGGUCUGAGAGGAUGAUCAGCCACACUGGAACUGAGACACGGUCCAGACUCCUACGGGAGGCAGCAGUGGGGAAUAUUGGACAAUGGGCGCAAGCCUGAUCCAGCCAUACCGCGUGGGUGAAGAAGGCCUUCGGGUUGUAAAGCCCUUUUGUUGGGAAAGAAAAGCAGCAGGUUAAUACCCCGCUGUUCUGACGGUACCCAAAGAAUAAGCACCGGCUAACUUCGUG
rnacentral:rRNA from 1 species